CUAGGCGUCGACCGGCGCACGGGUGAGUAACGCGUAUCCAACCUGCCCAUCACUUGGGGAUAACCUUGCGAAAGUAAGACUAAUACCCAAUGAUAUCUCUAGAAGACAUCUGAAAGAGAUUAAAGAUUUAUCGGUGAUGGAUGGGGAUGCGUCUGAUUAGCUUGUUGGCGGGGUAACGGCCCACCAAGGCGACGAUCAGUAGGGGUUCUGAGAGGAAGGUCCCCCACAUUGGAACUGAGACACGGUCCAAACUCCUACGGGAGGCAGCAGUGAGGAAUAUUGGUCAAUGGGCGAGAGCCUGAACCAGCCAAGUAGCGUGCAGGAAGACGGCCCUAUGGGUUGUAAACUGCUUUUAUAAGGGAAUAAAGUGAGUCUCGUGAGACUUUUUGCAUGUACCUUAUGAAUAAGGACCGGCUAAUUCCGUGCCAGCAGCCGCGGUAAUACGGAAGGUCCAGGCGUUAUCCGGAUUUAUUGGGUUUAAAGGGAGCGUAGGCCGGAGAUUAAGCGUGUUGUGAAAUGUAGACGCUCAACGUCUGCACUGCAGCGCGAACUGGUUUCCUUGAGUACGCACAAAGUGGGCGGAAUUCGUGGUGUAGCGGUGAAACGCUUAGAUAUCACGAAGAACUCCGAUUGCGAAGGCAGCUCACUGGAGCGCCACCGACGCUGAAGCUCGCACGGGCGGGUAUCGAACCCGAUUAG
rnacentral:rRNA from 1 species